rnacentral:rRNA from 1 species
UCCGUAGGUGGCGAUCGUUGUCCGGAAUUACUGGGUGUAAAGGGCGUGUAGGCGGGAAUGCAAGUCAGAUGUGAAAUACCAAGGCUUAACCUUGGGGCUGCAUCUGAAACUGCGUUUCUUGAGUGUCGGAGAGGAAAGUGGAAUUCCUAGUGUAGCGGUGAAAUGCGUAGAUAUUAGGAAGAACACCAGUGGCGAAGGCGGCUUUCUGGACUGUAACUGACGCUGAGGCACGAAAGCGUGGGGAGGAAACAGG